GACAGCAGCUUUAGCACCUUGUAACCUUGAGCUCGUCAGAUCUCAGGGGUUCAGCAAGGCUGGGCCUGGUCAGUACUGGAAUGGGAGACCCCCAGAGAGGAGCAGAUGGCUGCUGUAA
rnacentral:rRNA from 1 species